rnacentral:rRNA from 1 species
GAUGAACGCUGGCGGCGUGCCUAAUACAUGCAAGUCGAGCGAACAGACGAGGAGCUUGCUCCUCUGACGUUAGCGGCGGACGGGUGAGUAACACGUGGAUAACCUACCUAUAAGACUGGGAUAACUUCGGGAAACCGGAGUUAAUACCGGAUAAUAUAUUGAACCGCAUGGUUCAAUAGUGAAAGACGGUUUUGCUGUCACUUAUAGAUGGAUCCGCGCCGCAUUAGCUAGUUGGUAAGGUAACGGCUUACCAAGGCGACGAUGCGUAGCCGACCUGAGAGGGUGAUCUGCCACACUGGAACUGAGACACGGUCCAGACUCCUACGGGAGGCAGCAGUAGGGAAUCUUCCGCAAUGGGCGAAAGCCUGACGGAGCAACGCCGCGUGAGUGAUGAAGGUCUUCGGAUCGUAAAACUCUGUUAUUAGGGAAGAACAAAUGUGUAAGUAACUAUGCACGUCUUGACGGUACCUAAUCAGAAAGCCACGGCUAACUACGUG